GGCACAGUCGACGUAGAGAUAGGCGGGCACAUCUACAGGCAGGGCUAGGUGGUUUAGCCGACGACCGAGUUGGUCACUUGUUUUUUGGAGUUAAAAAACGACCAAAAGAAUCGCCAAUUUUGUAUAAACUGUAUCAAAAAUGUAUCAAAAUCCACACUAAAUAAAUUUACUUAACACUCAAACACUUCUACCUCAUAAUCACGGACAAUACAAAUGUAUAAUGGUAAGAUUUUGCCCUGAUUUGUGUUGCACGUAUUACCUUCAUUGAACAGUCAUGACCCCAAUUCUGCACGUACGUACGUACGAUCGUACGCGCGCAGUCAAGAACAUCAAUAUUCAUGACUUGACAAGACGUCACUGAUAUGCAUAUUCAUUGCCUCCUUGUAGAUGUGCCCGAUUAGAGGCUACCCGCACAAACUGAGAAGAGUUAGUUCAUUGAGAAUGGAUUGAAACUAAUGAAGAGCUGGAAGGAGUUAACUGAUGAGUAGACAUUACAACAUUUCUUAUAUUUGCAAGAUGAAGCUGAAAGUCCCAUUGCAGGAUGAUGCUUCUCUACAGUGGAUGAUGAAGGCAUGCUGAUUACAAACCCAGGAGAGGAACAAAGAACAGAUAUUGACAGAAGCAUAUCUAGAGAUGCGGGCCUACUACACUUCAUACGAGCAAGUGUGCUAAUAUACAAUACUUGGGUUAUCAUCACAGCCCUUUCUUCUGAAAACUAGCCUACAACUUCAUCAAUGAAUGCAGAAGACAUCUUCAUGGGACUACGUCUUAAAGAUGCAACCCUCAUAUAAUGAAAGAGGACAUUAGAGAUGGGUUUAAACUUGAAUAUUUACAUACUAUUUAUUUAUUAUUUGUAUUAUAUAUUUGUAGAAUACCACAUUUAGAAAAAGCUAAUAAAUUUAUUAUCUUGUCAACUUUCAAAUAUUUAAAGAUAACUAAUCAUCAAUGAAUAAACAUUAACAUUUUAACAAUGUCAACUACCAUCUUAUAUGAUGAAACUGAGGGCUGGGCAGAAAGAAAUUUCCUUGAAAUUUGAGUGAUAAAGAUCUAUCAGUCUAUAUCAGAGAUUGAAUUGAUCAAUGAUAUUUUAAUUAUAAUUAUACAUGUUGAAAUUCA